UGCCAGCCGCCGCGGUAACACGUACUGUGCGAACGUUAUUCGGAAUCACUGGGCUUAAAGGGUGCGUAGGCGGCUUUAUAAGUCAGGUGUGAAAUCCCACGGCUCAACCGUGGAACUGCGCUUGAAACUAUUUAGCUUGAGUAUCUCAGGGGUGAGCGGAACUUCCAGUGGAGCGGUGAAAUGUGUUGAUAUUGGAAGGAACACCGGUAGCGAAAGCGGCUCACUGGGGGAUGACUGACGCUGAGGCACGAAAGCUAGGGGAGCGAACAGGAUUAGAUA
rnacentral:rRNA from 1 species